rnacentral:lncRNA from 1 species
UCUCAGGAUAAUGCCUGAACCUUCCGGGGACAACAGUAGACUUUGGGAUCAGGACACACCUUUUCCUUCAGCAGCAUUGUGGCUGCCUACCAGCUGAAACGGUAUGUCUGCAUCUGGAUGAGAUGGAGAGCAAUUUACAAAUUUCAUCCAUGUGAUGGAUGUGGAGGAGAAGCCAUAGAAGAUGACACCCAACCAGGAACAAGCUGCAGUUUUGUUGUGAAUAUCCAGGAAGUCUCUGUGGUGCAGAUGUGACAGCAACAGCAAAACGUAUUUCAACGUCCCAUCCCGUGAAGAAGCUGGUCCCUCGCGUGUGCACGCUUCGUUUUCUCAGCAGAAAGAAAAAGAGAAAACAGAAGCUGAGGAGGUAUUCAAGAACUGUGGAGAUGUGGC